GAUUAAGUUAUUAAGGGCGCACGGUGGAUGCCUUGGCACUAGAAGCCGAUGAAGGACGUUACUAACGACGAUAUGCUUUGGGUAGCUGUAAGUAAGCGUUGAUCCAGAGAUUUCCGAAUGGGGGAACCCAGCAUGAGUUAUGUCAUGUUAUCGACAUGUGAAUUCAUAGCAUGUCAGAAGGCAGACCCGGAGAACUGAAACAUCUUAGUACCCGGAGGAAGAGAAAGAAAAAUCGAUUCCCUGAGUAGCGGCGAGCGAAACGGGAAGAGCCCAAACCAACAAGCUUGCUUGUUGGGGUUGUAGGACACUCUAUACGGAGUUACAAAAGAACAUGUUAGACGAAUCAUCUGGAAAGAUGAAUCAAAGAAGGUAAUAAUCCUGUAGUCGAAAACAUAUUCUCUCUUGAGUGGAUCCUGAGUACGACGGAGCACGUGAAAUUCCGUCGGAAUCUGGGAGGACCAUCUCCUAAGGCUAAAUACUCUCUAGUGACCGAUAGUGAACCAGUACCGUGAGGGAAAGGUGAAAAGUACCCCGGAAGGGGAGUGAAAGAGAACUUGAAACCGUGUGCUUACAAGUAGUCAGAGCCCGUUAAUGGGUGAUGGCGUGCCUUUUGUAGAAUGAACCGGCGAGUUACGAUCUGAUGCAAGGUUAAGCAGCAAAUGUGGAGCCGCAGCGAAAGCGAGUCUGAAUAGGGCGUUGAGUAUUUGGUCGUAGACCCGAAACCAGGUGAUCUACCCUUGGUCAGGUUGAAGUUCAGGUAACACUGAAUGGAGGACCGAACCGACUUACGUUGAAAAGUGAGCGGAUGAACUGAGGGUAGCGGAGAAAUUCCAAUCGAACUUGGAGAUAGCUGGUUCUCUCCGAAAUAGCUUUAGGGCUAGCCUCAAGUGAUGAUUAUUGGAGGUAGAGCACUGUUUGGACGAGGGGCCCCUCUCGGGUUACCGAAUUCAGACAAACUCCGAAUGCCAAUUAAUUUAACUUGGGAGUCAGAACAUGGGUGAUAAGGUCCGUGUUCGAAAGGGAAACAGCCCAGACCACCAGCUAAGGUCCCAAAAUAUAUGUUAAGUGGAAAAGGAUGUGGCGUUGCCCAGACAACUAGGAUGUUGGCUUAGAAGCAGCCAUCAUUUAAAGAGUGCGUAAUAGCUCACUAGUCGAGUGACACUGCGCCGAAAAUGUACCGGGGCUAAACAUAUUACCGAAGCUGUGGAUUGUCCUUUGGACAAUGGUAGGAGAGCGUUCUAAGGGCGUCGAAGCAUGAUCGCAAGGACAUGUGGAGCGCUUAGAAGUGAGAAUGCCGGUGUGAGUAGCGAAAGACGGGUGAGAAUCCCGUCCACCGAUUGACUAAGGUUUCCAGAGGAAGGCUCGUCCGCUCUGGGUUAGUCGGGUCCUAAGCUGAGGCCGACAGGCGUAGGCGAUGGAUAACAGGUUGAUAUUCCUGUACCACCUAGUAUCGUUUUAAUCGAUGGGGGGACGCAGUAGGAUAGGCGAAGCGUGCUGUUGGAGUGCACGUCCAAGCAGUAAGGCUGAGUGUUAGGCAAAUCCGGCACUCAUAAGGCUGAGCUGUGAUGGGGAGAGGAAAUUGUUUCCUCGAGUCGUUGAUUUCACACUGCCGAGAAAAGCCUCUAGAUAGAUAACAGGUGCCCGUACCGCAAACCGACACAGGUAGUCAAGAUGAGAAUUCUAAGGUGAGCGAGCGAACUCUCGUUAAGGAACUCGGCAAAAUGACCCCGUAACUUCGGGAGAAGGGGUGCUCUUUAGGGUUCACGCCCAGAAGAGCCGCAGUGAAUAGGCCCAAGCGACUGUUUAUCAAAAACACAGGUCUCUGCUAAACCGUAAGGUGAUGUAUAGGGGCUGACGCCUGCCCGGUGAACGGUCCUAAGGUAGCGAAAUUCCUUGUCGGGUAAGUUCCGACCCGCACGAAAGGCGUAACGAUUUGGGCACUGUCUCAACGAGAGACUCGGUGAAAUCAUAGUACCUGUGAAGAUGCAGGUUACCCGCGACAGGACGGAAAGACCCCGUGGAGCUUUACUGUAGCCUGAUAUUGAAAUUCGGCACAGCUUGUACAGGAUAGGUAGGAGCCUUUGAAACGUGAGCGCUAGCUUACGUGGAGGCGUUGGUGGGAUACUACCCUAGCUGUGUUGGCUUUCUAACCCGCACCACUUAUCGUGGUGGGAGACAGUGUCAGGCGGGCAGUUUGACUGGGGCGGUCGCCUCCUAAAAGGUAACGGAGGCGCUCAAAGGUUCCCUCAGAAUGGUUGGAAAUCAUUCAUAGAGUGUAAAGGCAUAAGGGAGCUUGACUGCGAGACCUACAAGUCGAGCAGGGUCGAAAGACGGACUUAGUGAUCCGGUGGUUCCGCAUGGAAGGGCCAUCGCUCAACGGAUAAAAGCUACCCCGGGGAUAACAGGCUUAUCUCCCCCAAGAGUUCACAUCGACGGGGAGGUUUGGCACCUCGAUGUCGGCUCAUCGCAUCCUGGGGCUGUAGUCGGUCCCAAGGGUUGGGCUGUUCGCCCAUUAAAGCGGUACGCGAGCUGGGUUCAGAACGUCGUGAGACAGUUCGGUCCCUAUCCGUCGUGGGCGUAGGAAAUUUGAGAGGAGCUGUCCUUAGUACGAGAGGACCGGGAUGGACAUACCUCUGGUGUACCAGUUGUCGUGCCAACGGCAUAGCUGGGUAGCUAUGUAUGGACGGGAUAAGUGCUGAAAGCAUCUAAGCAUGAAGCCCCCCUCAAGAUGAGAUUUCCCAACUUCGGUUAUAAGAUCCCUCGAAGAUGACGAGGUUAAUAGGUUCGAGGUGGAAGCGUGGUGACACGUGGAGCUGACGAAUACUAAUCGAUCGAAGACUUAAUCAA
rnacentral:rRNA from 1 species